rnacentral:rRNA from 1 species
UACGGAGGGUGCAAGCGUUAUCCGGAUUCACUGGGUUUAAAGGGUGCGUAGGCGGGCAGGUAAGUCAGUGGUGAAAUCCCCGGGCUUAACCUGGGAAUGGCAUUUGGGACUGCAAGGCUUGAGUGCGGCAGAGGAGACUGGAAUUCCUGGUGUAGCAGUGAAAUGCGUAGAUAUCAGGAGGAACACCGAUGGCGAAGGCAGGUCUCUGGGCUGACACUGACGCUCAUGCACGAAAGCGUGGGGAGCAAACAGG